rnacentral:rRNA from 1 species
UCAUUUGUUUCUUAAUUGGAAACUGGAAUAAAAGAGGCGAUGAAAAAUAGACUUUUGAUAUUAUAGAUUAAUUUGACAUAAAGGUCAAAAGGCCUUUAUCCACCCGGGGGACGAUAAGACCCUAUAAAACUUUACUUUAAAUUAGACCUUCUUAGGGUUGGGUUAUUCUAAAAAGUUAAACUGGGGCGGUUUUUACUAAAACUGUAAGAGAUUAAAUAUAAAAUAUAGAAUAUAAUAACUUAUUUAAAAAUUUCAAUAAGUUACUUUAGGGAUAACAGCRUAAUCCUCUAAGAGAGUACAUAUCGGCAAGAGGGAUUAUGACCUCGAUGUUGAAUUGGGAAAAUUUUUAUGGGCAGUUUUAUAAAAAAUUAGUCUGUUCGACUAUUAAAUUCCC